UAAGAUGAGAGUUUGAUCCUGGCUCAGGACGAACGCUGGCGGCGUGCCUAAUACAUGCAAGUCGAACGAGUCCUCCCAAUUUGAUUUUAUGCUUGCAUAAAUGAUUUUUGGAUUCGGGACGAGUGGCGAACUGGUGAGUAACACGUGGGUAACCUGCCCURAAGYAGGGGAUAACAUUUGGAAACAGAUGCUAAUACCGUAUAAUUAGUUGGAACCACAUGGUUCCAACUUGAAAGAUGGCUCUGCUAUCACUUUAGGAUGGACCCGCGGCGUAUUAGCUAGUUGGUGAGAUAAAAGCUCACCAAGGCGAUGAUACGUAGCCGACCUGAGAGGGUAAUCGGCCACAUUGGGACUGAGACACGGCCCAGACUCCUACGGGAGGCAGCAGUAGGGAAUCUUCCACAAUGGACGAAAGUCUGAUGGAGCAACGCCGCGUGAGUGAAGAAGGGUUUCGGCUCGUAAAACUCUGUUGUUAAAGAAGAACAAGUGUAAGAGUAACUGUUUACGCUUUGACGGUAUUUAACCAGAAAGCCACGGCUAACUACGUGCCAGCAGCCGCGGUAAUACGUAGGUGGCAAGCGUUGUCCGGAUUUAUUGGG
rnacentral:rRNA from 1 species